rfam:Dermacoccus sp. PE3 Contig3, whole genome shotgun sequence.
GGUCAAGAGAUCCGAUGCAAAGCCCUGGCUGGUCGGACGGCAACCCUCACGAACGUGGCGGGGUGCUCCAGGUGAUGACACGGCCGCGUCAACCGCGCGGCAAGCACGUUCC